rnacentral:rRNA from 1 species
GAUGAACGCUGGCGGCGUGCCUAAUACAUGCAAGUCGAGCGAACAGACGAGGAGCUUGCUCCUCUGACGUUAGCGGCGGACGGGUGAGUAACUCGUGGAUAACCUACCUAUAAGACUGGGAUAACUUCGGGAAACCGGAGCUAAUACCGGAUAAUAUAUUGAACCGCAUGGUUCAAUAGUGAAAGACGGUUUUGCUGUCACUUAUAGAUGGAUCCGCGCCGCAUUAGCUAGUUGGUAAGGUAACGGCUUACCAAGGCAACGAUGCGUAGCCGACCUGAGAGGGUGAUCGGCCACACUGGAACUGAGACACGGUCCAGACUCCUACGGGAGGCAGCAGUAGGGAAUCUUCCGCAAUGGGCGAAAGCCUGACGGAGCAACGCCGCAUGAGUGAUGAAGGUCUUCGGAUCGUAAAACUCUGUUAUUAGGGAAGAACAAAUGUGUAAGUAACUAUGCACGUCUUGACGGUACCUAAUCAGAAAGCCACGGCUAACUACGUG